AACGAACGCUGGCGGCAGGCUUAACACAUGCAAGUCGAACGCCCCGCAAGGGGAGUGGCAGACGGGUGAGUAACGCGUGGGAAUCUACCCAACCCUACGGAACAACUCCGGGAAACUGGAGCUAAUACCGUAUACGCCCUUAGGGGGAAAGAUUUAUCGGGGAUGGAUGAGCCCGCGUUGGAUUAGCUAGUUGGUGGGGUAAAGGCCUACCAAGGCGACGAUCCAUAGCUGGUCUGAGAGGACGAUCAGCCACAUUGGGACUGAGACCCGGCCCAAACUCCUACGGGAGGCAGAAGUGGGGAAUAUUGGACAAUGGGCGCAGGCCUGAUCCAGCCAUGCCGCGUGAGUGAUGAAGGUCUUAGGACUGUAAAGCUCUUUCACCGGAGAAGAUAAUGACGGUAUCCGGAGAAGAAGCCCCGGCUAACUUCGUGCCAGCCGCCGCCGUAA
rnacentral:rRNA from 1 species